rnacentral:tRNA from 1 species
CCCCGUGUGGCUCAGUUGGUAGGGCAUGGUGUUUGCAACGCCAGGGUUGUGGGUUCGAUUCCCAAGGGGG